UACGUAGGGUGCAAGCGUUAAUCGGAAUUACUGGGCGUAAAGCGUGCGCAGGCGGUUUUGUAAGUCUGUCGUGAAAUCCCCGGGCUCAACCUGGGAAUUGCGAUGGAGACUGCAAGGCUAGAAUCUGGCAGAGGGGGGUAGAAUUCCACGUGUGAGCAGUGAAAUGCGUAGAGAUGUGGAGGAAUACCGAUGGCGAAGGCAGCCUCCUGGGCCAACACUGACGCUCAUGCACGAAAGCGUGGGGAGCAAACAGG
rnacentral:rRNA from 1 species